rnacentral:rRNA from 1 species
CCUACGGGUGGCAGCAGUGAGGAAUCUUGGUCAAUGGGCGCGAGCCUGAACCAGCCAAGUAGCGUGAAGGAUUACUGCCCUACGGGUUGUAAACUUCUUUUAUAAAGGAAUAAAGUGAGGCACGUGUGCCUCUUUGUAUGUACUUUAUGAAUAAGGAUCGGCUAACUCCGUGCCAGCAGCCGCGGUAAUACGGAGGAUCCGAGCGUUAUCCGGAUUUAUUGGGUGUAAAGUGAGCGUAGAUGGGUUGGUAAGUCAGUUGUGAAAGUUUGCGGCUCAACCGGAAAAUUGCAAUUGAUACUGGCAGCCUUGAGUACAGUUGAGGUAGGCGGAAUUCGUGGUGUAGCGGUGAAAUGCUUAGAUAUCACGAAGAACUCCGAUUGCGAAGGCAGCUUACUAAACUGCCACUGACAUUGAUGUUCGAAAGUGUGGGUAUCAAACAGGAUUAGAUACCCGUGUAGUC